rnacentral:rRNA from 1 species
GUAACAUAUAGUUAAUGUACCUUCAAGACUGGGAUAGCCACUGGAAACGGUGAUUAAUACUAGAUAUACCUUCAUAUCACAAGCUAUGAAGGGAAACGUUUUUUCGCUUGAAGAUCAGACUAUAUCCCAUCAGUUAGUUGGUAGGGUAAUGGCCUACCAAGGCAAUGACGGGUAGCGGGUUUGAGAGGACGAUCCGCCACACUGGUACUGAGACACGGACCAGACUCCUACGGGAGGCAGCAGUGAGGAAUAUUGCACAAUGGAGGAAACUCUGAUGCAGCAACGCCGCGUGGAGGAUGACGCAUUUCGGUGUGUAAACUCCUUUUAUGAGUCAAGAAAAUGACGGUAGCUCAUGAAUAAGCACCGGCUAACUCCGUGCCAGCAGCCGCGGUAAUACGGAGGGUGCAAGCGUUACUCGGAAUCACUGGGCGUAAAGGACGCGUAGGCGGGAUGCCAAGUCUGAUGUGAAAUCCUAUGGCUUAACCAUAGAACUGCAUUGGAAACUGGUAACCUAGAGUAUGGGAGGGGGAGAUGGAAUUAGUGGUGUAGGGGUAAAAUCCGUAGAUAUCACUAGGAAUACCGAAAGCGAAGGCGAUCUCCUGGAACAUAACUGACGCUAAGGCGUGAAAGCGUGGGGAGCAAACAGGAUUAGAUACCCUGGUAGUCCACGCCCUAAACGAUGAACACUAGUCGUCGUGAUGCUUGUCAUUGCGGUGAUGCACUUAACAGAUUAAGUGUUCCGCCUGGGGAGUACGGUCGCAAGAUUAAAACUCAAAGGAAUAGACGGGGACCCGCACAAGUGGUGGAGCAUGUGGUUUAAUUCGAAGAUACGCGAAGAACCUUACCUAGCCUUGACAUUGAUAGAAUACCCUAGAGAUAGAGUAGUGCCUUUCGGGGAACUUGAAACAGGUGCUGCACGGCUGUCGUCAGCUCGUGUCGUGAGAUGUUGGGUUAAGUCCCGCAACGAGCGC